CAAGUGCACCACACUUAGGGUUUUUAGUGAUUUUUUAUUGGGCCCCUUGUGGGCUUGGUUUGGGUAUCACAAUUCUCCCCCACUACAAUUGAAUUCGUCCUCGAAUUCAACAUUCCCAGCUCAGCUUCACUCUUUUCUUUAAAAAGCUCACGGUAGUCAACUCGCAUUACCUUUUCUGAUUCCCAAGAUAACUCUUGAACUCCAUCCCGUUCCCAACAAACUUGAAUUGUCUUAGCUUUCUUUCCUAGAGAGCCACUCUCUUUGCGUCUAACCACUGAUAUCNN
rnacentral:lncRNA from 1 species